rnacentral:rRNA from 1 species
GACGUAGGGCGCGAGCGUUGUCCGGAUUUAUUGGGCGUAAAGAGCUCGUAGGCGGUUCAGUAAGUCAGGUGUGAAAUCUUUGGGCUUAACCCAAAGCGUGCACUUGAUACUGCUGUGACUUGAGUUCGGUAGGGGAGUGGGGAAUUCCUAGUGUAGCGGUGAAAUGACGCAGAUAUUAGGAGGAACACCGGUGGCCGAAGGCGCCAGCUCUGGGCCGAA